GUUAGCGACCAUACCACGUAGAAAGCUCCGUAUCUCGUCCGAUCACCGAAGUUAAGCUACGUUGGGCCCGGUUAGUACUUGCAUGGGUGACCGGCUGGAAAUACCGAGGGUUGCUUACA
rfam:Schistocephalus solidus strain NST_G2 genome assembly, scaffold: SSLN_scaffold0003537